rnacentral:rRNA from 1 species
GACACACGGCGGGUGCUAACGUCCGUCGUGAAAAGGGAAACAACCCAGACCCACAGCUAAGGUCCCAAAUUUUGUGCUAAGUGGAAAACCAUGUGGAAAGGCACAGACAGCCAGGAGGUUGGCUUAGAAGCAGCCACCCUUUAAAGAAAGCGUAAUAGCUCACUGGUCGAGUCGGUCUGCGGGGAAGAUUUAACGGGGCUAAGCACAGAACCGAAGCUUGGGGUGCAUAACUUUGUUAUGCGCGGUAGAGGAGCGUUCCGUAAGCCGUUGAAGGUGGAUUGAGAAGUCUGCUGGAGGUAUCGGAAGUGCGAAUGCUGACAUGAGUAACGAUAAUGCGGGUGAAAAACCCGCACGCCGAAAGCCCAAGGUUUCCUUGCGCAACGUUAAUCGGCGCAGGGUGAGUCGGCCCCUAAGGCGAGGACGAAAGUCGUAGUCGAUGGGAAGCAGGUUAAUAUUCCUGCACCUCGCGUAAGUGCGAUGGAGGGACGGAGAAGGUUAGGUGUACCAGGCGUUGGUUGUCCUGGGGAAAGGCGGUAGGUUUGGAUCUUUGGCAAAUCCGGGAUCCUUUAAGACCGAGCACCGAGACGAGCCUUUAUGGCAAAGUCACUGAUACCACGCUUCCAGGAAAAGCUCCUAAGCUUCAGCUUACGCAGACCGUACCGUAAACCGACACAGGUGGGUAGGAUGAGAAUUCUCAGGCGCUUGAGAGAACUCGGGUGAAGGAACUAGGCAACAUGGCACCGUAACUUCGGGAGAAGGUGCACCCUUUUUGGUGGCUCGUGCGAGCUAUAGCUGAAGAGGGUCGCAGUAACCAGGCCGCUGCGACUGUUUAUCAAAAACACAGCACUCUGCAAACACGAAAGUGGACGUAUAGGGUGUGACGCCUGCCCGGUGCUGGAAGGUUAAUUGAUGGGGUCAGCCGCAAGGCGAAGCUCUUGAUCGAAGCCCCAGUAAACGGCGGCCGUAACUAUAACGGUCCUAAGGUAGCGAAAUUCCUUGUCGGGUAAGUUCCGACCUGCACGAAUGGCGUAACGACAGCGGCGCUGUCUCCACCCGAGACUCAGUGAAAUUGAAAUCGCUGUGAAGAUGCAGCGUUCCCGUGGCAAGACGGAAAGACCCCGUGAACCUUUACUAUAGCUUUACACUGAACGUUGAGUUCGUCUGUGUAGGAUAGGUGGGAGGCUAUGAAACCAUGGCGCUAGCUGUGGUGGAGCCAUCCUUGAAAUACCACCCUGUCGUGCUUGACGUUCUAACCUGGGCCCAUUAUCUGGGUCGGGGACCGUGUAUGGUGGGUAGUUUGACUGGGGCGGUCUCCUCCUAAAGAGUAACGGAGGAGCUCGAAGGUACGCUCAGCGCGGUCGGACAUCGCGCACUGUGUGCAAAGGCAUAAGCGUGCUUGACUGCAAGAUCGACGGAUCAAGCAGGUAGGAAACUAGGACUUAGUGAUCCGGUGGUUCUGUAUGGAAGGGCCAUCGCUCAACGGAUAAAAGGUACUCCGGGGAUAACAGGCUGAUACCGCCCAAGAGUUCAUAUCGACGGCGGUGUUUGGCACCUCGAUGUCGGCUCAUCACAUCCUGGGGCUGUAGUCGGUCCCAAGGGUAUGGCUGUUCGCCAUUUAAAGUGGUACGCGAGCUGGGUUCAGAACGUCGUGAGACAGUUCGGUCCCUAUCUGCCAUGGGCGUUGGAGAUUUGAGAGGGGCUGCUCCUAGUACGAGAGGACCGGAGUGGACGAACCUCUGGUGUUCCGGUUGUCACGCCAGUGGCAUUGCCGGGUAGCUAUGUUCGGAAGCGAUAACCGCUGAAAGCAUCUAAGCGGGAAGCGCGCCUCAAGAUGAGAUCUCCCGGGGCACAAGCCCCCUGAAGGAACCAUGUAGACUACGUGGUUGAUAGGUCAGGUGUGUAAGUACAGCAAUGUAUUGAGCUAACUGAUACUAAUGAUCCGUGCGGCUUGACCAUAUAAC